rnacentral:rRNA from 1 species
UAAAGUUCAGCAUCUUGUGAAACUGCGAACGGCUCAUUACAAAAGAUAUUUUUCGAGCGGUGUGUCCUUUGGAUAACUGCGUUAAAUUUGGAGCUAAUACAUGCAUCAAAGCCCUGUUUCAGGGUGCAAUUAUUAGAACAGACCAAUCGUCUUCGGACGAAGGAAUGUUGACUCUGAGUAACGUUGUUUAUCGGUGGUUUAUCCGCUGAUGUCCGCGAGAAGUGUCUUCCCUAUCAACCAGUUGGUAGACUAUUAGUCUGCCUAGGUUAUUACGGGUAACGGAGAAUCAGGGUUCGACUCCGGAGAGGGAGCCUUCGAUACGGCUACCACAUCCAAGGAAGGCAGCAGGCGUGAAACUUAUCCACUACAUUAAUGUGAGAUAGUGACUGAACAUAAAAAGACCAUUCCGAAAGGAGCGGUUAUUCUAAUGGAUUGAGUUUAAAACACUCUUUGAGGAUCUAAUGGAGGGCAAGUCUGGUGCCAG